AUAUUGGUUUACAUUAGGUUGUAUAUGUCUGUGGACUGGUUUUAUUGUAUUUGUUAUUAAUAAUGACAGAAAGACAUGUGUUAACAAUAGGGGCAAUUACCAGUUUUUUUUUUUUGUUGACGAUCGGAAAUGCAUUGUGAACGGAGAAAAUUCUUUGCAGUCAAAUAAUGCAGUGAAAGUCACUUGGUAUACUGAAUUAAAUGUGCUUGAAGAGUUUAUUCGAGCUAGAAUGCGAAAUAGCCAAUGAUAUUCCUUAAGAGAGGCAACAUGUGAAACCACAACGGGUGCAUUUGUAUGUCACCAUAUGGCUACACCUGCCCUACACGGGCGUUAUAAUGUAUUUUGGACCAAUAAUUUGCGUUCUUGGGACGUACAUCUGAAGAAAAGUGAAUCAGCCGAGGUCAGAGCUGUGAUCUCUGAAAAUUCUUUUAAUCCCCAAGUCAACCUAAACACAGCUAAUGUUGAGGUACAACUUUAUGAAAGCUUACGACAAACUGAUGGGAGCGAAGCACUGCUUUGGCUAUUGGGCCCUGAACCAGAAAGAUCUGAAGAAAAUCUACUUCACAGUGUCGAAGAACUAUUAGUGUCCGAGGACUAUUUAAAUGGUCCAUUAAUAUAACAGUUUGUGGGUCAGUUUUUCACCAAAAGUGAAUCAGAGUUUGCAUUAGGCGGUGCAAUUUUUUAUUGUAGAAUAUUUUUUUUUGUUUUGAAAUAAAUUGGUCUUUAAAUUG